GUGGGGAAUAUUGGACAAUGGGCGCAAGCCUGAUCCAGCCAUGCCGCGUGUGUGAAGAAGGCCUUCGGGUUGUAAAGCACUUUUGUCCGGAAAGAAAAGCAUUGGGUUAAUACCCCGAUGUCAUGACGGUACCGGAAGAAUAAGCACCGGCUAACUUCGUGCCAGCAGCCGCGGUAAUACGAAGGGUGCAAGCGUUACUCGGAAUUACUGGGCGUAAAGCGUGCGUAGGUGGUUUGUUAAGUCUGAUGUGAAAGCCCUGGGCUCAACCUGGGAAUGGCAUUGGAAACUGGCUUACUAGAGUGCGGUAGAGGGUAGUGGAAUUCCCGGUGUAGCAGUGAAAUGCGUAGAUAUCGGGAGGAACAUCUGUGGCGAAGGCGACUACCUGGACCAGCACUGACACUGAGGCACGAAAGCGUGGGGAGCAAACAGGAUUAGAAACCCUAGUAGUCC
rnacentral:rRNA from 1 species